rnacentral:rRNA from 1 species
AUACGGAGGGUGCAAGCGUUAAUCGGAAUUACUGGGCGUAAAGCGUACGUAGGCGGUUAUUUAAGUCAGAUGUGAAAGCCCCGGGCUUAACUUGGGAACUGCAUUUAAAACUGGCGAACUAGAGUUGAGUAGAGGGGAGUGGAAUUUCAGGUGUAGCGGUGAAAUGCGUAGAGAUCUGAAGGAACACCAGUGGCGAAGGCGACUCCCUGGACUCGAACUGACGCUGAGGUACGAAAGCGUGGGUAGCAAACGGGAUUAGAAACCCUAGUAGUCC